rnacentral:rRNA from 1 species
CCUACGGGAGGCAGCAGUGGGGAAUAUUGCACAAUGGGGGAAACCCUGAUGCAGCGACGCCGCGUGAGUGAAGAAGUAUUUCGGUACGUAAAGCUCUAUCAGCAGGGAAGAACAAAAGUCCUUUUGACUUUGGACGGUUCCUGACCACGAAGCCCCGGCUAACUACGUGCCAGCAGCCGCGGUAAUACGUAGGGGGCAAGCGUUAUCCGGAUUUACUGGGUGUAAAGGGAGCGUAGGCGGCAGCGCAAGGCUGGAGUGAAAUGCCGGGGCCCAACCCCGGAACUGCUUUGGAAACUGUGCAGCUGGAGUGCAGGAGAGGUAAGCGGAAUUCCUAGUGUAGCGGUGAAAUGCGUAGAUAUUAGGAGGAACACCAGUGGCGAAGGCGGCUUACUGGACUGUAACUGACGUUGAGGCUCGAAAGCGUGGGGAGCAAACAGGAUUAGAUACCCUGGUAGUC